rnacentral:misc_RNA from 1 species
ACAUUCUAUAAUGAGUCUGCUUCUUGCAUGAUUAUUUUUUACUCUUGCUUAGAAUCCAUGCACAUGUGCCACAGGAAAAGUUGGUUGUAAAUUGCAUCUCUACUCACACAAUCAUAGAAUUAGGGAUCUGAUUUUCAUAUUGGUAGAUAAGCAUUGUUUUGUUGAUCAUUUUGCUGUCAAAAGUUUACCAUGUGAGUGUUAGAGACACAAUACUUAUGAGUGUCUUUGAUAUUGCAUAUGAUUGUCCCUCCUAAUGUUGACAUGAUGCAGUAAACCCAGUUAUCUCCCAUUUUUAUAUCAUAAAGAACACAAUUCCACUUUGGUGCUUUUCUAUUUAGAUUUUAUUUUAAAUUUUUGGUUCAUGUUAGAUUUGUUGGAUGUCACAAGUGUGUGCAAGAAUAUUUUAGCCUCAACAACUAUUUGUAUUCCUUUGUUAUCAGUAGGUAUAUUCAUGACUCCAAUGCCCGAGUUUGAUUAUUUGUUAGAUAAGACAUCCUGGAUUUUUUGCAUGUACAUGUACUUGUAUACUGUUACUGCGUGUUUUGUUUGAGUGCUAGGGGUGGGGAGGUUUUCUGUAUUUAUUGUAUUGACCACAAUGUGCAAUAUCAUGAGUGAACAUAAUACUAAUCUUAGUUAUGGACCUCUGUUGAUUUAUUUCCAAUGCUUGAAUAUGAGGAAAUAAAAACUUUGAAGAGUU